AAAUUAAACACACCCUAAUUCUAUCACUGCCAUUCUCUACCCUUCUCUUCUUGUUACGAUUAUGACUCUAUGAGUGUUGUGUUUUACAACGAGGCAAAGAAGAGCUCCAAGGUUACAGCUCACUAAUUCAAAGACAUUAAAUUGAAAAGAAAUGAAAAAAAAAGGAGAUUAAUUUUGAUUGCCACAACCACUGAUUUAUUAAUGGAAGGAAAGAAGGGAGUUUGGAUCAAAUUGGACUGUACAGUACAAUGGAACAAAAGAAAAAGGGGCUGCUCCACGUACCACCGUCGUUUUCUACCUGCUGUCGUUCUCUACUCAGACGUCGUCAUUGAUUUGCAGCAGUAUCCCGGCCAAGCUCCAAGACCGAAUCUCUUUUCUAAUGGUGUUCAAACAUUCCAUCCUUGCGGGUGAGGUCCAUCGUUCAGGAGGAGCAGACUAUGUUCGAUACAAGUAGAAGGCGGCAUCGAUGGAAGCAGAAGGUGGAAGGACGGGGAAGGCCACAGCGGUGGCCGGAGAAGGUGAGAGAAAUAAGAGAGAU